rnacentral:tRNA from 1 species
AGCCCGUUAGCUCAGUUGGUUAGAGCGUGGUGCUAAUAACGCCAAGGUCGUGGGUUCGUUACCCACACGGGCCA